UCCUUUGCGGGUCGCCUUCAG
rnacentral:siRNA from 1 species